AUACGGAGGACGCGAGCGUUAUCCGGAUUCAUUGGGUUUAAAGGGUGCGCAGGCGGCCGUGCAAGUCAGCGGUGAAAGCCCGGGGCUCAACCCCGGAAGUGCCGUUGAUGCUGCAUGGCUGGAAUGCGGUCGAGGCGGGCGGAACGUGGCGUGUAGCGGUGAAAUGCGCAGAUAUGCCACAGAACGCCGAUAGCGGAGGCAGCUCGCCAGGCCUGCAUUGACGCUCGGGCACGAAAGCGUGGGGAUCGAACAGGAUUAGAUACCCACGCUUUCGUG
rnacentral:rRNA from 1 species